rnacentral:lncRNA from 1 species
UGUGAUAUGCAUAUUUGGAGUCUGUGUAAAUGUUGACUCAUCUGUCUUUGGAAAGGGUUAGGGCUCUGGUGAGAGCUAUGAGUUCUGUUUUUUGAGAGGAGGUUCCUGGAGGUAGGAGUUUAGCUUUAGUUACUCAGUCAAGGGAAACAAUCACAUACCCAGCAAUUUUUGGGGAGCCAGUGGGCCCGGAAGAGGAGCCAUUUAUAAAUAGCUGGUCAUCGGGGUUGGUGAGAGGCUCGGAGGAAAUGUUUGGAAAGUGUGGCUGUAGGUGAUCCAGGAUGUCAGUGCAAGAAUGAGUAGGAGGGGAAGAGGAUACGGGGAGUAAGGAUGCUGGGUUGAGAGGAGCACUUUUGGCAAGACUUGAAUUCAGGAUUUUUGAUAAAGAGGGCAUGGAGUAAUUGAAUCCGGGAAGGAGGAAGGGAGCUUAAUGCUUGGGAGGAAAGGAGAUUUUGUAGAUUAUGAGGACUGUGGACGGUGGUAUUUUGGCUGAAUGUUAAGGAGCUGCUGUCCACAAACUAAGUAAAGGAAGUAUUUAGAAGGCGUUGGUCUGUUAGGUUUGGAAAGGGUAUAAGAAAGGUUUGAACAGUGUUUACACAGAAGUGUGCAGGGUCUUGACAGGUAGAAAUUUCAGGUAAGAGCAUGGCUGGGUUUAGACGAGAGCUGGUUAGCACGGUGAUUUGGGGAGUUUUUAUGAAUAGAGCAUACAGUUGGAGAAGCUGUGAGGGGGAGAUGAAACUUAGUACACUGUGGUGAGUUAGCAUGUUUUUGAUGUUAUGGGUUGAAUAAACUGUUAGGUUGGCAUGGAGAGAUGGUUUUAGGCUUUUAAGGUGAGGACAGCAGCUGCUGCCAAUGCUUGGAGACAGGCAGGCCGUUUGAGAACUGUGGCUUUAAGCUGUUUAGAGAGGUAGGCAACAACCUGGAGGAUGGGUCCUUUAGACUGGGUUAGAACACCCAGUGUAACUUUAUGCCAUCCGUUGGUAUAGAGGGAGAAAGGUUUGGUGAGGUCUGGGAGAGUGAGGAUGGGGCUGAGGUGAGAGAUUUUUGGAGGAGACAGAAAGGCUGGGUAAUAGGCUAUGCAGAGUUUAAAGGCUCAUGGAGAGGGCCUUUAGUAUCUUGGUAUAACAGUUUGGCAAGUAGAGCAAAGGAGGGAAACUAGAGCCUAAAAUAUCCUGCUAGUCCUAGAAAAGAGAGAAUUUCUUGUUUAGUUUGUGGAGGUGGGAGGGACUGGAGGAGGGAUAUGCGGUGGGUUGUGAGCCUUCAGGUUGGCACGGUAAGGGCUAGGCCUAGGUAGGUGACUGAGGGGGUGUAUAUUUGUGUUUUUUUAGGGGAGACCUAAUACCUCUGUUCUGCUAAGAAGUUUGAAAGAGAGAGAUAGUCUGGGCGUUGCAGUUUUUUUGAGAGGGGCUACACAGGAGCAGAUUAUUAACACAUUGAGGGAGAAUGGAUGCUUUUAGGGAUAAGGUACAGAGGUCGUGAGCAAGGGCCUGCCUAAAAAGAUGGGAGCUGUCUCUGAAGCCUUGAGGUAGUACCCACCAGGACUCAUGUGAUUAUACUGAACUGACCCAGAUAACCCAGGAUAAUUCACAUCUCAAGACCCUUAAACUUGAUGACGUCUGCAAAGUCCCUUUUGCCAUAAGGUUAUAUUGGCAUAUGGUCCAGGAAUUAGUGCAGAGCCACAAUCUCAGAAAGAAAAUGAGAGUGGAUAAUGAAGACAGAUCAUCUGGGUGUAAACCUGAGGAUAUUCCAGAAUAUAGAGGUUAGAGAGAUAAGAAAGAAACUAGCAAGGAAACUAAGGAGCAGCCUCUAAGUAGAAGGAAAAGAAUGGUGAGUUGUAAUUGGAGGUGAAGACAGUUUCAAGGGAGGGUAUGUUAAUUGCUGCUGACACAUCAAGGAAGAUGAGGACUGAGCAUUGACCAUUGGAUUUAGCAACAUGGAGUUUUCUGCUGACCUGGACCUGAGCAGUUUUAAUGGAGUGGUGGGGGCAAUGCAUGACAGAAGAGAAUUCAAGACAGAAGGGACUUUUCCAAAAAAAAAAGGUAUACAAAUGGUUAUUGUGCAACGUGGAAAGAUGUUCACCAAUAUUAGUCAUUUAGGAAAUGAAAAUCAAAAGCACAAUGAGUUACCAGUUCACACUCACUCAGAAGGCAAUAAUCAAAGAAAUGGACAAUAGCAAGGGUUGGGAAGGAUAUGGAGAUAUUCUCCCACAUUGCUGGUGGAAUGUAAAAAUGGUGAAGGUGAAGGUGGAAAAACGGAAAUGAAGUAUUGAGAGGGAGAUGGAAUAUAAGAAGCUUUCUGACAGAUAACCCAAUGGAACAAACUGACUGACUGGGCAUCUGAAAUGAGUAAGAAGGAGUCAAAAAUGAGCAAAAUUAUGCUUCUCUGUGGAUGCAAAUCAUAUCUCCAUUACUUACACCCAGGAGAACUUGUAUGAAGUAGUUAACUUCUCUGGAUUUUAGCUUUUUCAUGUGUACAAUGGGGGGUUUAUGCCUCAUAGAGUUGUAGAAACUGCAAAUGAGAGACUUAUGAAAAGCCUACUGAAUGACCUUAUGAAUAAUAAUAUCAUCAGUGGAAGGUGA